rnacentral:rRNA from 1 species
GAUGAACGCUGGCGGCGUGCUUAACACAUGCAAGUCGAACGAAGCACUUUAUUUGAUUUCCUUCGGGACUGAUUAUUUUGUGACUGAGUGGCGGACGGGUGAGUAACGCGUGGGUAACCUGCCUUGUACAGGGGGAUAACAGUUGGAAACGGCUGCUAAUACCGCAUAAGCGCCCAGCAUCGCAUGAUGCAGUGUGAAAAACUCCGGGGGUAUAAGAUGGACCCGCGUUGGAUUAGCUAGUUGGUGAGGUAACGGCACACCAAGGCGACAAUCCUGAGCCGAGCUGAGAGGGUGACCGGCCACAUUGGGACUGAGACACGACCCAAACUCCUACGGGAGGCAGCUGUGGGGAAUAUUGCACAAUGGGCGAAAGCCUGAUGCAGCGACGCCGUGUGAACGAAGAAGUAUUUCGGUAUGUAAAGCUCUAUCAGCAGGGAAGAUAAUGACGGUACCUGACUAAGAAGCACCGGCUAAAUACGUG